AAUGACUAGGAGCGAUGUGCAGAGGAAGAUGGCAGUUGGCAGAUGGUGCGUGGCCAGAGCUGUUGUUUCUGUCCUGCAGCCGGGAAUGCUCCACGCCGAGGGGUGCGGGCUGUGAGAGGAACCUGUCUGUGGAAGCGUGGCCGUUCCUCCCGUCUGAUGGGGCAGAAGGCAGGGACAGGAGAGGAAAGCUGAACAGAUGUGCAUUUUCGUCACGGCUCUUCCUGUGUGGGAAAUGAGCUGUGCCACUGUGCUUCUUUGUGCUGGCUAGUUCUGGAGCUGUGCCUUCAACUUGAUGCUCAGCUGUUCCUGUGUGCAAUGCUCCACACUCGGACCCUGCAGAGCCCAGAGGCCUCCUUGGCUGCUGUCACUCACCUGGAGCUUGCAGGGUGCUGUGCGUGCUGGAUGUAGCUGCUUCCAGCUGUCAUUUGCAAGGCCCUGCUUUGAUCUGCAACCAAGCCUGUUGUGCUGUGGAGAGCAGUGGAAGCCGUUCAGUUGCAUGACCAAGGGGUGCAGCCUGGUUCCCCCCUCCCUAAGGGGGAGGCUCAUGGAAGGGCUGGCUGCCUGCAGGGAAGGAGCUCUGCUUUUUUGUGCGCCCUGUUGCUCAGAAUGGGCUGCCGCGCCUCUGGCCUUGGCCCCCACAGAAGCCCCUCCUGGUUGUCAGUGGCAGCUGUUAGCUGUGCAGUGCCAGCAGUCUGUGGAAACGGCAGCACUUGGGAGGAUGACACAGUUUGCCUGAUUUUAUGCUUUCUGGAUGCGGUCAGGGCAUGGGCACAGCUGACAACACACUGAUGGUGUCCUGCUGGGAAAUGGAUGCGCUGGAUGGCAGAGGAGGAUUCUGAGCCCAGUAUGGGAUCAUCUUUGUUCCUUCGUGAAGGUGAGUGUUUAAAAGUGAGACACUUGAAGCUGCAUUUGCAGGGUGCCUGGAAGGAGGUGACUCUCGCUUGAUAGCAGUUGGGUAUUUCAGAGCAGCUGAGAUUAAGGGGACGUCACAAAUCAUGUUCUGAGAAUGUUCCUGACCGUUCUGAGUUGUUCAAUUGUCUACAAGAAUGCAAGCAAUGCAAAAAAGCAAAAGCAGAACAAGCACGGCAUGUCCUGCAAAGAAUCCAGCUUUCAUAGAGACUGACAGUUCCUAACGUUCCUUUUUCUUCUUCUGUCAGUGACUGAAUUUGCUCUCACCUCUUCUCUCUGCACGUGACUUCCCACUUCUUCUAUCUUUAGUUCUUCUUGGGUUGAACUUCUCUCUUGUCUGUUUCUCCUCCUUUCUACCUUUGCAAUCCCUUCCCUCCCUUCUCUUUUCUGUCUUUUCUAACUUCUCCUCUCUGCUGCCUUCCUCCCUAUUCUUUUUUCCUGUCCUUUUCUUUCUUUUCUCUGCACCGUUAUUUCUCCUCUUCCUCCUCCUGCACUUCCUGCUCCUCUGUUCCCUCCUCUCAGUUCUCCCCUGCCUGUUCCUGCUCUUUUCCUCUUCUCCUCCUCACUCCUCUGCCCUGUUUCUGCAUUAUUUCAUCCUCCUGCAGCAGCGGCUCAUCUGCUCUGCACUUCUCUCUCUGUGCUGUCCUCUGCUCUUUGAGUAAUUCUUCCCUCUGUCCUUGCUCCUCUUCAGCUGGCUAUUAAUUCUCCACAUCAUGGCUCCUAUUGUGCUAUUUUUUCUUCUCCAUAUUCUCACUCUU